AGAGUUUGAUCCUGGCUCAGAGUGAACGCUGGCGGCGUGCUUAACACAUGCAAGUCGAACGAGAACGGGUAUUAGCUUGCUAAUACUGUCAGCUAAGUGGCGCACGGGUGAGUAAUAUAUAGGUAACAUGCCUUCGAGAAGGGGAUAACGUUUGGAAACGAACGCUAAUACCCUAUAUGCCUUUAAGUCUUAAGACUGCAAGGGAAAUAUUUAUAGCUCGAAGAUUGGCCUGUACGGUAUCAGCUUGUUGGUGAGGUAAUGGCUCACCAAGGCUAUGACAUCUAACUGGUUUGAGAGGAUGAUCAGUCACACUGGAACUGAGACACGGUCCAGACUCCUACGGGAGGCAGCAGUGGGGAAUAUUGCACAAUGGACGAAAGUCUGAUGCAGCAACGCCGCGUGGAGGAUGACACAUUUCGGUGCGUAAACUCCUUUUAUAUAGGAAGAUAAUGACGGUACUAUAUGAAUAAGCACCGCUAACU
rnacentral:rRNA from 1 species